rnacentral:rRNA from 1 species
AUCACGACUGCUAACACCCGAUGUGACGAUAGGUGAAAGGAUUGCCGCCUGGCGAUGAGCUCGCGUCUGAUUAUCUAGUUGGUGGGGUAAUAGCCUACCAAGGCGACGAUCAUUAGCUGGUCUGAGAAGAUGAUCAGCCACACUGGGACUGAAACACGGCCCACACUCCUACGGGAGGCAGCAGUGGGGAAUUUUCCGCAAUGGGCGAAAGCCUGACGGAGCAAUACCGCGUGAGGGAGGAAGGCUUUUGGGUUGUAAACCUCUUUUUUCCGGGAAGAAAAUCUUGACGGUCCCUGAGGAUUAACCUCCGGCUACUUCCUUGCCGCCAGCCGCGGUAUUACGGGGGAGGCAGCCCUUUU